CUUCUUCUCCUGCCGACAGCCUGGUCAUUCAGGAAGCCCUGCUCUUCCCAACUCACGGAGAACUUUGUGUAGGAGCUAGGCUCUCCAGGGAGUGGACGGAGAUAACGAUUUCAAAUUCUGAACUUGGCUGGUCCCCUUAGUCUGGAUGUUCUCGUUGUAGCCUGAGAACGGCAAGACGCCUUGGAUGACAGUCCCAUCAAGGCGGAUCUGUGGCAAGAAGAUAAAACUCUAUAAGGGAGCAGGGCUGCUAUUUCCAAAGAAGGAAGAGGAACAGUGCAGUUGGACAAGGGUCUCCUGCUGCAGGCACUCGGGAAGCUGGCGCUAGACUGUUUUAGUAUGAAGCUUUUAUUGCCUGUGGCACCACAGAGAGGUGUUCCUCCCCAUGAGUCUUUGUUCUCCUAACUUCAUCCCACACCUGCUUCUGACUCAGCUAACCAGGGGGUAUGACGGCAAGGAUGCGGUUUGAUGUCAGCGGAUGAAGACAGAGUAUGCAGUCUCCCAGCCGUCUGUGUCG